rnacentral:rRNA from 2 species
AACCCUUCGGGGCGAAGAUAAAGUGGAUUAGCGGCGGACGGGUGAGUAACACGUGAGUAACCUGCCUUAGAACAUUGGGAUAGCCUCGGGAAACCGGGAUUAAUACCAAAUAAAAUCAUAAUGACACAUGUCAUAACGAUCAAAACUCCGGUGGUCUCAAGAUGGCACUCGCGUCCCAUUAGCUAGUUGGUAGAGUAAAAGCCUACCAAGGCGACGAUGGGUAGCCGGCCUGAGAGGGUGAACGGCCACAUUGGAACUGAGAAACGGUCCAAACUCCUACGGGAGGCAGCAGUGGGGAAUAUUGCACAAUGGAGGGAACUCUGAUGCAGCGACGCCGCGUGAACGAAGAAGGCUUUCGAGUCGUAAAGUUCUUUUAUAUGGGAAGAUAAUGACGGUACCAUAAGAAAAAGCCCCGGCUAACUACGUGCCAGCAGCCGCGGUAAUACGUAGGGGGCUAGCGUUGUCCGGAAUCACUGGGCGUAAAGGGUUCGCGGCGGAAAUGCAAGUCAGAUGUAAAAGGCAGUAGCUUAACUACUGUAAGCAUUUGAAACUGCAUAUCUUGAGAAGAGUAGAGGUAAGUGGAAUUUUUAGUGUAGCGGUGAAAUGCGUAGAUAUUAAAAAGAAUACCGGUGGCGAAGGCGACUUACUGGGCUCAUUCUGACGCUGAGGAACGAAAGCGUGGGUAGCAAACAGGA